rnacentral:rRNA from 1 species
GACGAACGCUGGCGGCGUGCUUAACACAUGCAAGUCGAACGGAAAGGCCCCAGCUUGCUGGGGUACUCGAGUGGCGAACGGGUGAGUAACACGUGGGUGAUCUGCCCUGCACUCUGGGAUAAGCCUGGGAAACUGGGUCUAAUACCGGAUAGGACCGUGCUUUAGUGUGUGCGGUGGAAAGUUUUUCGGUGCAGGAUGAGCCCGCGGCCUAUCAGCUUGUUGGUGGGGUAAUGGCCUACCAAGGCGGCGACGGGUAGCCGGCCUGAGAGGGUGUACGGCCACAUUGGGACUGAGACACGGCCCAGACUCCUACGGGAGGCAGCAGUGGGGAAUAUUGCACAAUGGGCGCAAGCCUAAUGCAGCGACGCCGCGUGGGGGAUGACGGCCUUCGGGUUGUAAACCCCUUUCGGCAGGGACGAAGCUUUUGUGACGGUACCUGCAUGAGAAGCACCGGCUAGCUACGUG